CGCGGAGGGACAUUACUGA
rnacentral:rRNA from 1 species